rnacentral:snRNA from 1 species
GUGCCCACCUUGGCAGCACAAGCACUAAAAUUGGAACUAUGCAGAGAAGGUUAGCAUGGCCCCUGUGNGGAGAAAGAAAGAAAGGAACAGGCGGCAUUGGACCACUUGU